rnacentral:rRNA from 1 species
GACGAACGCUGGCGGCGUGCCUAAUACAUGCAAGUAGAACGCACAGUUUAUACCGUAGCUUGCUACACCAUAGACUGUGAAUUGCGAACGGGUGAGUAACGCGUAGGUAACCUGCCUGGUAGCGGGGGAUAACUAUUGGAAACGAUAGCUAAUACCGCAUAAUAUUAAUUAUUGCAUGAUAAUUAAUUGAAAGGUGCAAUUGCACCACUACCAGAUGGACCUGCGUUGUAUUAGCUAGUAGGUGAGGUAACGGCUCACCUAGGCGACGAUACAUAGCCGACCUGAGAUGGUGAUCGGCCACACUGGGACUGAGACACGGCCCAGACUCCUACGGGAGGCAGCAGUAGGGAAUCUUCGGCAAUGGACGAAAGUCUGACCGAGCAACGCCGCGUGAGUGAAGAAGGUUUUCGGAUCGUAAAGCUCUGUUGUAAGAGAAGAACGGGUGUGAGAGUGGAAAGUUCACACUGUGACGGUAUCUUACCAGAAAGGGACGGCUAACUACGUG